rnacentral:lncRNA from 1 species
UUAUGGAGUUAGUGAGAAUUCAUAAUGGAGAAGCUGGGAUCUACGGGACCGGUGGUCCACGGGACAGGUUGUCACAAUUUCGUUGUUUUCUUUCGACUAUUACUGAUUUAAAUGCCGAAUAGAUUAAAAGAUAUUUUUCUAUCAUAUUUUACAUGUCUAUUCCUUAUUUAAUAAAUAUUAUAUAUAUGUAUAUUAAUAUUUUUUUUAAAAUAAAUUAUAUACCAUAUAAGAUACAUAAGUAUUUUAAUUUUGAAUUUGCUUUGAAUUUGUUUGAUAAACAUUUUGAACAAUUAUUAACAACACGGUGGUCCACGGGACAGGUUGUCACAAUUUCGUUGUUUUCUUUCGACUAUUACUGAUUUAAAUGCCGAAUAGAUUAAAAGAUAUUUUUCUAUCAUAUUUUACAUGUCUAUUCCUUGUGCAUGAAACUUUGCUUUUUAAAAUAUGUAUUUUCUAAACAAUAUAUAUUAACCGCUAAAAAUAAGAGAAAAAUCUAUAAAAGUUUUUAAAAUACCAAACUUAGGCAAUGUGACUGUUACAGCUAUUAAUCAGUUUGUUUAAAAAAAAAAAUUAAAAUUGACUUAGAAAUUUAGAAAGUCAAGAGCAUAAAUUUUAGCGAUAAAAGAUAUGAGCAAUUUUCUUUAUAAAACAUGAUAACUCAGUGAUGCACUCAUUCUUUCAAAAUAAAAUGCAAAUAGAACUCUUACAUAUUUUGCAGCUCACUUUUAACAAACAGUUGACUUAUAUUAGUCGUAAGUCAAGAACAAAAAUCCUAAAAACAUCUUUCGUGCUCAACAGUGACAUGAUAAUUACACGAUAACUUAAGGAAUCCGCUCAUCCAAUGAAAGACUGAGAAAAAAAAAAUCAUAAGUCCACCAAAAAAAAAAAAAUC